AUGAGGUGGCACAAUUUGGAUUCUAGAACCAUCAUAUUGCAUGCUGCCAAACGCGGCCGAAGAAAACGUCGAGCCAGCUUGCUUUGGACUAUAGUAGCAACAGGCAGCAUUGCGGCUAUAAAUACAUCCACCGCGGGCGAGAGCAGCAAGCCACAAUUCACCACCGCUGCACGCACACUACCAUCACAAACUCGUCCAAGAAUACCAAGAGCGGCAUCAUCCAUGGCGUCCACUCGCGUCCUCCACCUCAUCAUCGCCCUCGUCCUUGCCGUCACCGUCGCCACAGAUGCGGCCACCAUCACGGUGGUGAACCGGUGCUCCUACACGGUGUGGCCGGGCGCGCUCCCAGGCGGCGGCGCGCGUCUCGACCCGGGCAAGUCGUGGCAGCUCAACAUGCCCGCCGGCACAGCGGGCGCCAGGGUGUGGCCGCGCACCGGAUGCACCUUCGACGGCAGCGGCCGGGGCCGGUGCAUCACGGGCGACUGCGGCGGCGCGCUGGCUUGCAGCGUGUCCGGCCAGCAGCCCACCACGCUGGCCGAGUACACGCUGGGGCGGGGCGGGAGCCGGGACUUCUUCGACCUGUCCGUCAUCGACGGCUUCAAUACGCCCAUGAGCUUCCAGCCCGUCGGCGGCGCGCCGUGCCGUGCGGCGACCUGCGCCGUGGACAUCACCAGGGAAUGCCUGCCAGAGCUGAAGGUGCCCGGAGGGUGCGCGAGCGCGUGCGGCAAGUUCGGCGGCGACACGUACUGCUGCCGUGGCCAGUUCGAGCACAACUGCCCGCCGACGAACUACUCGAGGUUCUUCAAGGGCAAGUGCCCCGACGCCUACAGCUACGCCAAGGACGACCAGACCAGCACCUUCACCUGCCCCGCCGGAACCAACUACCAGAUCGUUCUCUGCCCCGCACGAAAUGAUUUACACAUGGAUCAGUAA
rnacentral:rRNA from 1 species